UGAUGACGAGACGCUAAGGCGUUGAAGCAGUGUAUGUCAGACUUCCAAGAAAAGCUCGCAAUGUCACAAAUAAAAAGUGCCUGUACCAUAACCGACACAGGUGGGUAGGUAGAGUAUACUAAGGGGCGCGAGAUAACUCUCUCUAAGGAACUCGGCAAAAUGACUCCGUAACUUCGGGAGAAGGAGUGCCUUAUUUAUAAGGUUGCAAUAACAAGAUCCAAGCAACUGUUUAUCAAAAACACAGGUCUCCGCUAAGUCGUAAGACGAUGUAUGGGGGCUGACGCCUGCCCAGUGCCAGAAGGUUAAAGAAGUUGGUUAGUGUAUGCGAAGCUGAUGACUGAAGCCCUGGUGAACGGCGGCCGUAACGAUAACGGUCCUAAGGUAGCGAAAUUCCUUGUCGGGUAAGUUCCGACCCGCACGAAAGGCGUAAUGAUUUGGAUACUGUCUCGGAGAGAGGCUCGGUGAAAUAGACUUGUCUGUGAAGAUGCGGACUACCUGCACCAGGACAGAAAGACCCUAUGAAGCUUUACUGUAACUUGAAAUUGGAAUUGGACUUUGCUUGCGCAGUAUAGGUGGGAAGCGUUGAAAAUAUUCUUGCGGGAGUAUUGGAGCUAUCAGUGAGAUACCACUCUUGUAAUGUUAGAUUUCUAACUUUGAACCAUAAUCUGGUCAAGGAACAGUUUCAGGUGGGCAGUUUGACUGGGGCGGUCGCCUCCCAAAUGGUAACGGAGGCGUACAAAGGUUUCCUCUGAACGGAUAGAAAUCGUAUCUAGAGUGUAAAGGCAUAAGGAAGCUUGACUGUGAGACCUACAAGUCGAGCAGGGACGAAAGUCGGUCUUAGUGAUCUGACGGUACUGAGUGGAAAGGCCGUCACUCAACGGAUAAAAGUUACUCUAGGAUAACAGGCUGAUCUCCCCCAAGAGUUCACAUCGACGGGGAGGUUUGGCACCUCGAUGUCGGCUCAUCGCAUCCUGGGGCGGUAGUACGUCCCAAGGGUUGGGCUGUUCGCCCAUGAAAGCGGUACGCGAGCUGGGUUCAGAACGUCGUGAGACAGUUCGGUCCAUAUCCGGUGUAGGCGCUAGAAUAUUGAGAGGAGCCUUCUUUAGUACGAGAGGACCGAGAAGGACACACCGCUGGUGUACCAGUUAUCGUGCCAACGGUAAACGCUGGGUAGCUAUGUGUGGAGUGGAUAACCGCUGAAAGCAUCUAAGUGGGAAGCCCACCUCGAGAUGAGUAUUC
rnacentral:rRNA from 1 species